rnacentral:rRNA from 1 species
UACGUAGGGAGCAAGCGUUGUCCGGAUUUAUUGGGCGUAAAGAGCUCGUAGGCGGUUCCGUAAGUCAGGUGUGGAAAAUCUGGGCUCAACCCAGUGGAGCACCUGAUACUGCGGUGACUCGAGUCCGGUAGGGGAGUGUGGAAUUCCUGGUGUAGCGGUGAAAUGCGUAGAUAUCGGAAGGAACACCAGUGGCGAAAGCGGCUUCCUGGUCCAGCACCGACGUUCAGGCACGAAAGCGUGGGGAGCAAACAGG